rnacentral:lncRNA from 1 species
UUUUUUCCUUACAAUAAUUUUAUUCCAAUUAUUUCCAGGACAUGGUCUAGGACCAUGAUGACAGUUUGGAAGGUGAUUUGAACAUGUUUGAUUUCUCCCAAGUGAAGUAAAUUUUACAAUAUUGGCAGGCUUCAAGAAAAGAUUUUUACCCUUAUACCUUACUCAGAUCUUCUCUGUGACCUAUGAAGAAUAUUGUUGGCACUCAAAGACUACUGAUCUGUACACAAUUAGCCUGUGGCCUCAUUAAUUUCUCAUAAAACAAUAGAAUAUUUACAAGAGGAAGUGCUUUCUUACCAAAAGAAAAUGAAGGAGGAAGUAUCUGAAAUAAAUGUAUGGAAACAAACUGAAUUUGGCUUUUCGAAGACAUCUAUGUUGUGGAGUAAAUCGCUUGGGAUUUCUAUCAUUUGGCUGUGGGAAGGAG